AGGGAGCUCACGAAUGUGGGCAGUGCAAAAUCUGUGUACAGUUUGAAGCUCGGUGGGACAGAAAACGUGAGUGUCAGCGUGAAACCGAAGAAGCUUUCAUUCAAACAGGUCGGGCAGAAGCUUAAGUACACCAUUACAUUCGCAUCAAAGAAGGGAGUAAAUCCGACGGAUGUACAGUUCGGCUGGAUCUCGUGGAGUAACAAGGAGAACCAAGUGAGGAGUCCUAUUGCUUAUACGUGGAAGAUGGCUUAAGAUAGUUGUGAGAGCUUGGACAUGUCAUGUGUGG
rnacentral:misc_RNA from 1 species